CUCCCGUUGAUCCCGCCGGACCCGACUGCUAUCAGAGUGGGACUAAGCCAUGCGAGUCAACAUAGCAAUAUGUGGCAUACGGCUCAGUAACACGUAGUCAACAUGCCCAGGGGACGUGGAUAACCUCGGGAAACUGAGGAUAAACCGCGAUAGGUCAUCACUUCUGGAAUGGGUAAUGACUUAAAUCUAUAUGGCCCCUGGAUUGGACUGCGGCCGAUCAGGCUGUUGGUGAGGUAAUGGCCCACCAAACCUAUUACCGGUACGGGCUCUGAGAGGAGGAGCCCGGAGAUGGGCACUGAGACAAGGGCCCAGGCCCUAUGGGGCGCAGCAGGCGCGAAACCUCUGCAAUAGGCGAAAGCUUGACAGGGUUACUCUGAGUGAUUUCCGCUAAGGGAAUCUUUUGGCACCUCUAAAAAUGGUGCAGAAUAAGGGGUGGGCAAGUCUGGUGUCAGCCGCCGCGGUAAUACCAGCACCCCGAGUGGUCGGGACGAUUAUUGGGCCUAAAGCAUCCGUAGCCGGUCCUGCAAGUCUUCCGUUAAAUCCAGCUGCUCAACAGAUGGGCUGCGGGAGAUACUACAGGGCUAGGAGGCGGGAGAGGCAAGCGGUACUUUAUGGGUAGGGGUAAAAUCCGCUGAUCCAUAGAAGACCACCAGUGGCGAAGGCGGCUUGCCAGAACGCGCUCGACGGUGAGGGAUGAAAGCUGGGGGAGCAAACCGGAUUAGAUACCCGGGUAGUCCCAGCUGUAAACGAUGCAGACUCGGUGAUGGGUUGGCCUCGCGCCUGCCCAGUGCCGCAGGGAAGCCGUUAAGUCUGCCGCCUGGGGAGUACGGUCGCAAGACUGAAACUUAAAGGAAUUGGCGGGGGAGCA
rnacentral:rRNA from 1 species